rnacentral:rRNA from 1 species
CUGGUUUGAGAGGAUGAUCAGUCACACUGGAACUGAGACACGGUCCAGACUCCUACGGGAGGCAGCAGUGGGGAAUAUUGCACAAUGGACGAAAGUCUGAUGCAGCAACGCCGCGUGGAGGAUGACACAUUUCGGUGCGUAAACUCCUUUUAUAUAGGAAGAUAAUGACGGUACUAUAUGAAUAAGCACCGGCUAACUCCGUGCCAGCAGCCGCGGUAAUACGGAGGGUGCAAGCGUUACUCGGAAUUACUGGGCGUAAAGAGCGUGUAGGCGGGUAAAUAAGUUGGAAGUGAAAUCCUAUGGCUCAACCAUAGAACUGCUUCCAAAACUGUUAACCUAGAAUGUGGGAGAGGUAGAUGGAAUUUCUGGUGUAGGGGUAAAAUCCGUAGAUAUCAGAAGGAAUACCGAUUGCGAAGGCGAUCUACUGGAACACUAUUGACGCUGAGACGCGAAAGCGUGGGGAGCAAACAGGAUUAGAUACCCUGGUAGUCCACGCCCUAAACGAUGUACACUAGUUGUUGUGAGGCUAGACCUUGCAGUAAUGCAGUUAACACAUUAAGUGUACCGCCUGGGGAGUACGGUCGCAAGAUUAAAACUCAAAGGAAUAGACGGGGACCCGCACAAGCGGUGGAGCAUGUGGUUUAAUUCGACAUACGCGAAGAACCUUACCUGGUCUUGACAUAGAAAGAACUUUCCAGAGAUGGAUUGGUGCCUGCUUGCAGGAGCUUUCAUACAGGUGCUGCACGGCUGUCGUCAGCUCGUGUCGUGAGAUGUUGGGUUAAGUCCCGCAACGAGCGCAACCCUCGUCGUUAGUUGCUAACAGUUCGGCUGAGAACUCUAACGAGACUGCCUACGCAAGUAGGAGGAAGGUGAGGACGACGUCAAGUCAUCAUGGCCCUUACGACCAGGGCUACACACGUGCUACAAUGGGGUAUACAAAGAGCAGCGAUACGGUGACGUGGAGCGAAUCUCAAAAAUGCCUCCCAGUUCGGAUAGUAGUCUGCAACUCGACUACUUGAAGUUGGAAUCGCUAGUAAUCGUAGAUCAGCUAUGCUACGGUGAAUACGUUCCCGGGUCUUGUACUCACCGCCCGUCACACCAUGGGAGUUGAAUUCAUUCGAAGCGGGGAUGCUAAAAUAGCUACCUUCCACAGUGGAUUUAGCGACUGGGGUGAAGUCGGAACAAGGUAACCGUAGGAGAACCUGCGGUUG